AUGUGCUGGGUCAUUUUAACGCUGGGUAUUUUUUUCUGCCUAACCACUGGGUUGACCUUGUCUCUGGUGAAACUUCUCAACAAUGUUGCUGCUGAGAGCACAGGCCUUUUAAGUCCACAGGAGAGAGCAGUUCUCUGUGUCGCCACCACCGAUUUGAUGCACUUUUUCCGGGAAAUAAAGGCUUUGGAGUCAGUCAUGCCAUCUCUCAGCUACGAGUGAAAUGCAAGGCCGCGGUCUAAAGUUCACAGUUCCCCUCAAACAGCAGCCCUUGACCAGCUCAAAUUUCGGCAACAAACCGGCACAAGAAUUAGCACUAUUUCGGUAAAAAGCGAUUACAGAGAAUGGUUGAAUACACUUAAAUUAAAAGUGCCCUUUUAUUUCUAAAAUGCUUGUUAAAGGAGUUUAAAUGUAUGUAAUAUUGUAACUAUGCUGUAUUCACCCAAAUUAAUUCAAUUUGUCUUGUAUUUUGUCCAUGGGUGUUCUUGCUUAAUAAUAAAUAUUCAUCUUUUGGUUAUUGCUGUUGCCUAUAGUAAUUCUGUGUGAUUUUAUAAUAAUAAAAUAUAUAAUAAUAUAACAAUAUAAUAAUUUUUAAACCUUGAUAUCAAUGACUCCUGUAGAAGAAUGUUGUUACUAUUUAAGAAAUACAAAAUA
rnacentral:lncRNA from 1 species